GGUGAAACUUUUGUGAAGAACUUAUCUGUUUAUAUUAUUUUUUAUUCAGUUAUCCUACACCUACAUAACUUAGUAGUUGUUUUUUUUUAUAAAAAAAAAAUUGGAUAGAAAAUGGUUUUUGAUUGCUUGGUUGGCUUUCUAUAUUUACCCUCAUCCUCCUAUGACUUUAUUUUUUGCGUUUUUGGGUGCGAACUAAUUGCUGGGGUAAAGUGAAAUGCAGGAGCAAAACUGAAAUUGAUCUCCGAUUUACUGAAUUUAGAGCAGAUAAUUGAGAUCCACUAUGACAAGAGCCCAAAUGCAUAUAUCUUUGCCGGGACAUAAUGACAUUUGUUGCGUUUGCAAGUGCUUUUCAAUGUUCUCGUUCUGUUUGUAAAUCCCCAAACCUAGGUGUAAGUUCUGUGAUGAGUAGCAAGCAAGUGGGUCUUCUAUGUUCUAAGUUUCAUAUCUCUAUUAGGCUAUUGAUAAGUGUACCUCCGCCAAUUAGAAUUUUACCUCCCUUUUCCUUUUUGCUUAUAUUUUAUUAUCCAAAAUACACUUUUGUACCCCCUUUUUCCUAGUGAGGGUCAUCCACGUGAACAAUUUUUAGACCCACCUGAACAAUUUCAGAAUGGCAUUGCAUAAUAAUGAGGACCACGGUGUUCUUUCCACAUUGGUGACUAUUUCUGCAUCAAGAGUUCCAAUUGUUAGAAAACCUUCAAAGAGCACAAAGAUGAUUCUACAUGUUUCUUCUUGGGACUUAUCUUCUUCUCUAUUUAACAUUUCAAAACCCAACUUCACGUACAAUUGAUAAAUAUAAUGGAAAGGAAGAUAAAGUCCAACACCACCCAAGUCGACCCUUGAUUAAAAACGAAAUCCAGCACAACAAUAACAAUUUGGAGAGGAGUUAUAAAGGUUGACUUGGUGGUUAAAGGGAGAAGGAAGAAAUUGUGGAUUCAAAUUUCUUCCACCAACAAAAUCUAACAAAUUGACUAAUAAAAAAAAUAAUAACUUGGAGAACAAAACAAAGAAUUACUAAAUCCUCAAGCCUGAAUGAUUAGAUGGUGUUGAUGGUGAUGAGGGCCAAAUGCAUGAUGAUUCCAUCUGUAACAGACACAUGGUGGUGUGUCCCGA
rnacentral:lncRNA from 1 species